rnacentral:lncRNA from 10 species
GGUUCUGUUUUCGAUCAGCUCACACUUUUCUUGGAGUUUAAGAUGGCUACAGCAGCUCUAGCCUUUACAUCUUCAUUUAUUCAAGUCCAAGUCCUGUGUCAGUACAAUCCCAUUGCAUUUUAUUGGCUCUAGUUGGGGGAUAGGCCUGGAACCUGUCUGGAGCGGGUACCCAUGCCUGGAGUUGAGGGUAGGGUUAGCCCCACCCAAACCACAUGGACUAAAAGGUGUGGAGGGGCUGGGUCUCCAGAGGGAGACUGGGGACAGCUAUCCAAAGGAGGGCGAAUGGAAGGUGGGCAGCAAAAACAACAGAUGUCUGCUAAAACCUGGAAUGCUAGGCCAAAGAACCUGGAUAUCAUUUACAUCAGAGAACCAGUAAAGAUUUUUGAGCAAAUAAGCAGCGUGAUCAGAGCUACACAUUAACAUUAAUUCAGCUACAGUUUAAUAGCUGCCAUGUACUUGGCACAUGGUAGGUACUUAAUAUAAUUAUAUAUUGAAUGAGUGAAUGCAAAAAGAGAGAUGAGUAGCUCAGGAGAGGAGAGAGAAAUUAAAGGUGGGCAGCAUUUUUAGGCCAUCGUAGCAGUUUGGAAGGGGAGCUAGCAAAGGGAAUAACGAAGACCCAUCAAGAAAACCAAGAGGUUCCAUUGUCAUGAAACCCACAUAAGGAAAAACUAUCAAGAGGGCAGGUUUGGUCACCCACGCAAACACUGUUGAAAGGUCAGGUUAAGGACGAUGAGGAUUGAGAAAAUGUCAUG